CCUACGGGUGGCAGCAGUGAGGAAUAUUGGUCAAUGGACGAGAGUCUGAACCAGCCAAGUAGCGUGAAGGAUGACGGCCCUAUGGGUUGUAAACUUCUUUUAUAAAGGAAUAAAACUAGGCACGUGUGCCUUUUUGCAUGUACGUUAUGAAUAAGGAUAGGAUAACUCCGUGCCAGCAGCCGCGGUAAUACGGAGGAGCCGAGCGUUAUCCGGAUUUAUUGGGUUUAAAGGGAGCGUAGAUGGGUUGUUAAGUCAGUUGUGAAAGUUUGCGGCUCAACCGUAAAAUUGCAAUUGAUACUGGCAGUCUUGCUUACAGUUGAGGUAGGCGGACUUCGUGUUGUAGCUG
rnacentral:rRNA from 1 species